UAGUCGUAUGCUUCUUUCAAGGACUAAGCCAUGCAAGCGUUAGAGGAAUGCCUUGUGCAUAGGUCUGCGGAUGGCUCAUUAUAACAGCAACAAUCUAAACGACUAAGAGUGAUAUGAUCAGUCACUCCAAGUGGACAUCCAUCAAGCCCAACUGGCUGGUUAAUACGUGAAAGGAAGUGCUCACCUCACUAUCAUCCAGGCUACCACGGGCAACUGUGGUUAGUUUGGGUGGAGGGGAGUAGCAACUGGCUGAAACAAAGACUGGUGCCUGUGAAAGGCAGUGUUAGACUGGUGAGUCAGGCCAAUGGAUGCUAUAGCAGAGUGGUGAUCAAUCGCUGCAAAGUCGUAAGAGUUUCUGACCUAUCAGCUGUUGAUGGUGAGGUAGUGGCUCACCAUUGCAAUGACAGGUAACAGAGAAUCGGGGUUCGAUUCUGGAGAGGGAGCCUGAGAAACGGCUCCCACUGCCAAGGUAGGCAGCAGGCGCGUAAAUUGCCCAAUCCCAACACAUUGGGGAGGCAGCAACGAAAAGUAGCAGCCUUGGCUCCUCAUAGGAGUCAGAGUUUGUGCAAUGGAUGCUAUAUCCAAACAGAGCAAUGAGUAACAGUU
rnacentral:rRNA from 1 species